rnacentral:misc_RNA from 1 species
AAGGGGGACAGGGGAAGAAUCAGAAAAUGCAUAUGUAAAGUUUUCAAUCCAAUUAUUGAAAAGAACAACAAAAUACCAGACACUUCUUGUCAAAAAACCUCAACUACAUUACUGAAUAAAAGCAUAUAGCAAAGAGAUGAUAUUAAUAAUUGUCUGAGAUGCUGUUAUAAGCACUUUCUCAUGUAAUAGUUACAAAUGUUUCUAAUCAAUUUAUAGUUUUCAAAAUUUUUGUGUUUCCCCUUACAUGAAUGAGAUGUCUUAUUGAUACAACAUAACCAUAAAACAAAAAUUCAAAUGAGCAAACAUGUAAACAAUGACAUGGCUACAUUUAUUCAUUAAACUUGCCCCCAAAUCUAUACUGUCAUCCUUGACCAAUGAUUUCCAAAUUCAUAAUGUUGUCAUUCUUGUCCAAUAAUUUCCAUGUUCAUUUUUCAUACCUCUUAUGAUGCAUAUGCUUUUAGAAAUAAACAAUGGAACUAGCG